rnacentral:rRNA from 1 species
CCUACGGCGUGCAGCAGUGGGGAAUAUUGGACAAUGGGCGAAAGCCUGAUCCAGCCAUGCCGCGUGUGUGAAGAAGGCCUUCGGGUUGUAAAGCACUUUCAGUGGGGAAGAAAGCCUUGGGGCUAAUACCCUCGAGGAAGGACAUCACCCACAGAAGAAGCACCGGCUAACUCCGUGCCAGCAGCCGCGGUAAUACGGAGGGUGCGAGCGUUAAUCGGAAUUACUGGGCGUAAAGCGCGCGUAGGCGGUCUGAUAAGCCGGUUGUGAAAGCCCCGGGCUCAACCUGGGAACGGCAUCCGGAACUGUCAGGCUAGAGUGCAGGAGAGGAAGGUAGAAUUCCCGGUGUAGCGGUGAAAUGCGUAGAGAUCGGGAGGAAUACCAGUGGCGAAGGCGGCCUUCUGGACUGACACUGACGCUGAGGUGCGAAAGCGUGGGUAGCAAACAGGAUUAGAUACCCUUGUAGUC